rnacentral:rRNA from 1 species
GACAGAGGUGCCGAGCGUUAGGCGGAAUCACUGGGCUUAAAGCGUGUGUAGGCGGACCGUUAAGUACCUUGUGAAAUCCCCCGGCUCAACCGGGGAACGGCUGGGUAUACUGGCGGUCUUGAGCCAUCCAGGGGCAGUCGGAACAGACGGUGGAGCGGUGAAAUGCGUAGAUAUCGUCUGGAACGCCGAAGGUGAAAACAGCUCGCUGGGGUUGUGCUGACGCUGAGACACGAAAGCCAGGGGAGCGAACGGG